GAUGAACGCUGACAGAAUGCUUAACACAUGCAAGUCGAUGGGGAAGUGGUGCUUGCACCAUGGUAACCAUGGCGGACGGGUGAGUAACGCGUAAGGAACUUACCUGCGGGACCGGGAUAACAGCAGGAAACUGCUGACAAGACCGGAUAAGGUCAUUAAGCUGCAUAGCUUAGUGAUGAAAGGAGACGCCUGCGGAGAGCCUUGCGUCCUAUUAGCUAGUUGGAGGGGUAACGGCCCACCAAGGCGAAGAUAGGUAGCCAGCCUGAGAGGGUGGACGGCCACAAGGGGACUGAGAUACGGCCCUUACUCCUACGGGAGGCAGCAGUGGGGAAUAUUGGACAAUGGGGGCAACCCUGAUCCAGCAAUUCUGUGUGCACGAAGACGGUUUUCGGAUUGUAAAGUGCUUUCAGCAGGGAAGAAGGAAGUGACGGUACCUGCAGAAGAAGCGACGGCUAAAUACGUG
rnacentral:rRNA from 1 species